GGCGGGAGAUGGAUUCGCUGCCCUACCUGCAGACACACAGGCACACACACGGAGCCCUGGGAAGUCCACAUUUACUGUACUGCGUGCCGACUGCCUUGAAGAAACUGUAGCUAACCACCUUAUUAGUAUUCUUGCCUCCACUGUGUCUCACUUGCAGCAUCAGAGCGCUGAGCAAAAUGCAGUAGAGCAGGGACAGACACGGCUCUGGCAAUCAUCUCAAUGCAGGCUGCUGAGUGCUGGGGGUGGGGGUAUGCAGCGCAUCAAGAUUAAUAACCUUGCCAUACUCCGAGGCACCGUGCAAGCAGACACCUCUGCUGAUUGACUCGCUCCUGGCUUGAUACAUCUGCCUGGGGAGAGGAAUCCGGAAUCUAGUUCCCACUCCCCACCCCCCUGAUUUUGGAUGUUCUUUUGAUUCUCCACAGACCUGGAAAGGUAACCGCAAGCCAUACCAUCUGCAGCUCACAGCACCUCUUGGAGGUUACUACUGACAGUUUUCAUUACACAGGCUUCUGUGAGUGCUUAUGUGUCUGUAUGUGUCCCUGCGUGUGGGUGCCUGCUUUCUCGUGGAAGAGAUUGUGUGAAUGUCCGUCCUGUGUGUGGGGGCUUGUGUGACAACCAAAGCAGGUAUAACGUACAAGACGAGGUCUCAACAGCGUGAAAAUAAUCUCCAGGCACUGGGGCUCACACUCUGUAGCCCCGCCACCGCCAACCGCCACCUCUCACCGCCCCUUCUCUGCCCGACUCCCCCUGCUCCUCUCGCCUUUGAUGAGUUUUUGGCUUACUUUUUGGCCGAGUCUCUUGGACACGUACUUGCUGUUGCUGGAGGAUCAGAUAAAUGGAACCUUUGAAAGUUGAUUAUUUUUCUCUGGUGUGACAAACAGAGAAAGAGAGAGAGAGAGGGAAGAGGAAAGGAAUUAGAGUGGUGUGUGACCAGCUAGAGGAUUUAAAUUUUUCCUGGGUGAACUUUGAGGAUCCACUGAGAAGAAACCAAAUGAAGUGUUUACUGUCAUUAUCUCUAUUUGAUGAAGAGGAUACUGAGGCUCAAAGAGAAUUAAUAACUCAUCCAAGAUCAUCUAAUGCCGAAUAAUCAAGAGUGUUUACUAUGCAUGUACAAAGACCAGCCUGGACCAGCAUGUUUUUGAGAGGAUAACCCACAGGGAAGAAACAGCAGAAAUGCUGCACUUGAUCGCAAGGCUGCAUGCUCACUCAGGAAGAGCGGGGCUGAGCA